rnacentral:rRNA from 1 species
UUCGCCCUUUUCCGGUUGAUCCUGCCGGAGGUUACUGCUAUCGGUGUUCGACUAAGCCAUGCGAGUCAAAUGUUCUUCGUGAACAUGGCGGACUGCUCAGUAACACGUGGAUAACCUGCCCUUAGGUUCGGCAUAACUCCGGGAAACUGGAGAUAAUUCCGAAUAGGUCAAAUAUGCUGGAAUGCUUUUUGGCCAAAAGACCUCGGUUGCCUAAGGAUGGAUCUGCGGUCUAUCAGGUUGUAGUGGGUGUAACGUACCUACUAGCCUACGACGGAUAUGGGUUGUGAGAGCAAGAGCCCAGAGAUGGAUUCUGAGACAUGAAUCCAGGCCCUACGGGGCGCAGCAGGCGCGAAAACUUUACAAUGCGGGAAACCGCGAUAAGGGGACACCGAGUGCCAGCAUUUAUGUUGGCUGUCCACAUGUGUAAACGGCAUGUGUUAGCAAGGGCCGGGCAAGACCGGUGCCAGCCGCCGCGGUAACACCGGCGGCCCGAGUGGUAAUCACUUUUAUUGGGUCUAAAGGGUCCGUAGCCGGUUUGAUCAGUUCUUCGGGAAAUCUGACAGCUCAACUGUUAGGCUUCCGGGGAAUACUGUCAGACUUGGGACCGGGAGAGGUAAGAGGUACUACAGGGGUAGGA